AUUGAACGCUGGCGGCAGGCCUAACACAUGCAAGUCGAGCGGAUGAAGGGAGCUUGCUCCUGGAUUCAGCUGCGGACGGGUGAGUAAUUCCUAGGAAUCUGCCUGGUAGUGGGGGCUAACGUCCGGAAACGGGCGCUAAUACCGCAUACGUCCUGAGGGAGAAAGUGGGGGAUCUUCGGACCUCACGCUAUUAGAUGAGCCUAGGUCGGAUUAGCUAGUUGGUGGGGUAAAGGCCUACCAAGGCGACGAUCCGUAACUGGUCUGAGAGGAUGAUCAGUCACACUGGAACUGAGACACGGUCCAGACUCCUACGGGAGGCAGCAGUGGGGAAUAUUGGGCAAUGGGCGAAAGCCUGAUCCAGCCAUGCCGCGUGUGUGAAGAAGGUCUUCGGAUUGUAAAGCACUUUAAGUUGGGAAGAAGAGCAGUAAGUUAAUACCUUGCUGUUUUGACGUUACCAACAGAAUAAGCACCGGCUAACUUCGUG
rnacentral:rRNA from 1 species